UAAGUACACGCCCUCUUAAGAAACCCGUUCAAAAAGAGUGUAUAAUUUAGUAGGGUCGCUUCUCUCUCGCGUGAACUGGGUUCUCUCUCGCUUCCCUCGCCGGCUACAUUCUCCCCGUCUCCUCUGGUUGGCUAUGUUCUCACGCAUCUCCCCUGUUUGGCUCUGUUCUCCCGGUCGCCUCUAUCCUCCCUGGCUCUGUUCUUCUACUCUUCUACUCUCUCUCUAUCUCUCUCUGUGAACCAGUGAAUGCGGUGAAAUGCCUCCCGUCUUUGUGUUCCCCCCGAGCCUGAGAGCCUUGGAAGAAGAACAGGAAGACAACCGUAUCGUCGCCCAGAACCCGAUCGACAUCACCGACCUUCGUCCCUCCGAACUCGAAGAGUUCGUCAAAGUUUCAGAUGUAUAGAGGGGGAAGAUCUGCUUGACUGUGCAUUUCAAGCAAUGCCUCUUUGAGCCAAGAGCUGUAAGGAGAUAGGGAGUGAGGUUGUUGGUGGGUGGUGUGGCGGAGAGACCUGGGGAAGACGAAGAGAUGAUUUCAAAUUUUUUUUUAAGUAACUUGAUUUAAAUAAAGAAAGAUUUCGUUCUUUUUUAAUUUGAUAUAUUUGGUGGUUGUGAAUUUUAUCAAGUGUAAAAAAAAAAAUCCCUUUUAUUCCAUUAAUCAUUCAUUUUUAUCGUAAAAGUAAUAAUACAUUGAAUUCCUCUUAUCCGAUAUGGUACCAAGCACAAUAUAAUUAAUACCGUCGUUAAUCCGAUAUUGCACCAAAAGUAAGAUUAAUUUAGUUAGUACUGUACAGUAGCUAUUUAUCAUAUCUGAUCGAAAUAAUCAGUACAGUUCGAGCUAUUAAACAAGGCCUUAGUAGCUGUACAUUCCCCAAUUAAACUGCAUAACAUUCAUUAUAUUUACAAGUGUUUGAGAAUCAUAGUUUUAUAGCUUUAGUAAUAUAUAGAAGAAAAUCAUAUAAUGUCUCCAUAGGCAUUAGUACGAAUGAAGAGUGAAGAUUUCAAAGAUUGAAGGUUUAUCGGAUUUAUCUAAUAUAGUGAAAGAUGUAUCAUUAGGGUUUCUCGUGUUUAGUGCUUCAUACAUA